GAACGCUAGCGGCAGGCUUAACACAUGCAAGUCGAGGGGCAGCAUGAGACGGAGAUUCGUCGAAGUCUUGAUGGCGACCGGCGCAAGGGUGCGUAACGCGUGAGCAACUUGCCCGUUUCUGGGGAAUAACCGGUGGAAACGCCGACUAAUACCCCCAUAGUAUUGAGUUUAGGCAUCUUUACUCAAUUAAAGAAUUUCGGAAACGGAUAGGCUCGCGUGACAUUAGCUGGAUGGCGGGGUAACGGCCCACCAUGGCAACGAUGUCUAGGGGUUCUGAGAGGAAGGUCCCCCACACUGGAACUGAGACACGGUCCAGACUCCUACGGGAGGCAGCAGUGAGGAAUAUUGGUCAAUGGUCUGACGACUGAACCAGCCAUGCCGCGUGAAGGUCACGGCCCUAUGGGUCUUAAACUUCUUUUGUAAGGGAGCAAUAAGUCUCACGUGUGGGAUGAUGAGAGUACCUUACGAAUAAGCAUCGGCUAACUCCGUG
rnacentral:rRNA from 1 species